AUUUCCCACGGGGAUUCGCGGGCGCCUUGGGCGCCUGGGCUCCCCGGGACGCUGGGCAAGCAAGGGGUCCGCUGAGCGGGCUCGGUUGGCCACCAGCCGGAGGCACAAACCACGCUGAACCAGCAGGGAUGGUGUCUCGGCUUGGGGACUCACGGCCACGCAGUCUCUUCUCCCCCACGGACGAGUUUAGGCACGACCAGCACUCACCCAAACCCACCCCUGCUCCAAAGCCCAGAAGGCGAGAAAGGUGCGCGCUUGCUGUCCCUGGAAGACUGCAGCCGGGCAGGUUCUCGGACGGAUCUCCCCCACCUCACCCCACCCAGGGUGCGGUCAACGAAUUUGGUCCCUCUCGCUUGGCAGCCAGUUGCGGGGUACCAGCUAGAGCUUCUGCGAUUCAUCCCCUGCGCACAGCUCUUGCCUUGCGAGCCCAGAGUCCAGAAGCCUCAGACUGCGAGCGAGCUGGAGAAAAGGAGGCAGCACGCCACCGCUCCCCGGAGCAUCCAGGCCAGGGUAGAAAGAGCCUCAGGUGCCGACUCUGGGAGCCCAAUGGCCAGAGGGAUCCCUUCCCAGACCAGCUUCGCCCGGAGCUAAGGAGCUUGCACCGCAAUGCAGCGGGAUCCAGGCUCUCCGAGCCGGAGAUGUCCGGGAUCCUGUAGUCUGGGAACACGGGGGCGCGGGAGCCGAGAGACUCCGCGAACCAUCCGCGGGCGCCCAGGGUCGGCCCAGGGCAUGCCUGUGGGUACCAAGCCAGCCCCGUGCUCCAUCUCCACCCAGGCUCCGGAACAGCCUUGCCCUCGGGUACCGGGGUGCAGUCAAAGGACCCUGAGCAGUCAAAGGAGCCCCGCGAAGCGCGCGGCACCCAGGAACUGGCAGCCGCCAGCCGCCAAGUUGCGCCGCUAAAGGAAUCCCUGCUGCCCUAACAGCGCCUCUUUGCAUGCCUCUGUGGAAUGGAAUCCCUAGGAUUGUCCAUCUUCCUGGGAAGAGAGAUAAAGGACCAAAGUGCACCCUCGGACUUCCUAUCCAAAAUGGCCUCUGCAAAGAGGCUUUUCUAUCCAGAAAAGCUGCUUCUUCUGUCUCAGGGCUAAUUUCCCAACAGAUACAAACGCUGCAUAUGAGGAUUUACAUAACAAGGUUGGUUGUUAUUGACGUGAAGAAAGAUCAACUGAUUGUUUUGUUGAUUUUGUGUCUUCUCAAACUGAAAUAAAAUGUCUCAAAGAAUAAAAUACGUAUCUAUUCUUAAAAUUCUAAUUACUGAAACC